AGCGAACGCUGGCGGCAGGCUUAACACAUGCAAGUCGAGCGGACCUUUCGGGGUCAGCGGCGGACGGGUGAGUAACGCGUGGGAACGUGCCUUCUGGUUCGGAAUAACCCUGGGAAACUAGGGCUAAUACCGGAUACGCCCUUAUGGGGAAAGGUUUACUGCCGGAAGAUCGGCCCGCGUCUGAUUAGCUAGUUGGUGGGGUAACGGCCUACCAAGGCGACGAUCAGUAGCUGGUCUGAGAGGAUGAUCAGCCACACUGGGACUGAGACACGGCCCAGACUCCUACGGGAGGCAGCAGUGGGGAAUAUUGGACAAUGGGCGCAAGCCUGAUCCAGCCAUGCCGCGUGAGUGAUGAAGGCCUUAGGGUUGUAAAGCUCUUUUAUCCGGGACGAUAAUGACGGUACCGGAGGAAUAAGCCCCGGCUAACUUCGUG
rnacentral:rRNA from 1 species